rnacentral:rRNA from 1 species
CGUAGGGCGUAGCGUUGUCCGGAAUCAUUGGGCGUAAAGACGCGCGUAGGCGGCCCGGUAAGUCCGUUGUGAAAGUCAAAGGACUCAACCUUUGAAUGCCGAUGGAUACUGCCGGGCUCGAGUCCGGAAGAGGCGAGUGGAAUUCCUGGUGUAGCGGUGGAAUGCGCAGAUAUCAGGAGGAACACCAAUAGCGAAGGCAGCUCGCUGGGACGGUACUGACGCUAAGGCGCGAAAGCGUGGGGAGCGAACAGGAUU